rnacentral:lncRNA from 1 species
ACCGUAAGUUUGAAGUCCUCCAAGUUGUGGUCGGCGCCAUCAUGACGCCGGCGACUAACACAUAUUGUUUAAUUGAGUCUACUUUACUACUUGGUUCACCUUUGCCUUAUGAGUUCCUUAGAAGGAGAAAACACUCUGUAUUUUUGAACAGAUGCUUCAUUAUGGGAGGUGUUCAAUAGCUCACUGUGAUUGUUGAGAAGUCAACACAGGGACAAGGAAAUCUCAGAUGGUUGUCUACAGUUACAAGGGGGAUUUUUGGACUGAUUUGUGAUUUUUCUGGGAAUGCAACUCAAGUUAGAAGAGGCCAUUAUCUGAAAGAAGAAGAAGCACCAGCUGAUGUGUUGGUUAUUUUAGGGCGACAUUUGCAGUUGCUUGGGCAAUAUCAUGAGCCUCACCUCAUGCAGGUCUGGGUCCCAGACCCAAAGACUGCUCCUCCAUACUCAGAGAUACCAGCACUAACAGAGCAGCUCCUCUUCUUCAGUACAGAUGCUUCUCAACUUACAAUGAGGUUAUACCCUUAUAAACACAUGGCUGUAGGUAUACCACAAAGUGAUGGCAUCCACGGCCGUAUGGAUUGGCUGCUGAGAAGACACCACUGCAGUGGGGGAGGCACAACCUGGGCUGUGCACUCUGCGGAGCCCACAGGAGCUGGAAACAGAAACACUACUUGCUGCUGCUAGGUCAGAAACAGAAAACUGGAAAUAUCUCAGAUACAGCUUGGCUGAAGCAAUAGAGAAAAAAAUUCCUAUGAAGUAGAGAGAGAGAAAAGAGAGGUGUUUUGUCAGUUGGUAAUGUAUAUAUGGUGUUUUGUUGUGUCAUUUUCUAAGUUUCUGAAUUCUGAGAACUUAGAAACUUAUUUACAAUAACCUGUUUUUCAUCUUCAAGUGGAUUUGUAAAAAUGAUGUAACAAAAAAAAGUCCAGUUUGUUAUAUUCCUCAAUCAUCACCAAUAUUUUAUGCUCCCAAAGAAAAUGGGAAAAUGUCUUUUUCCAUUACUAGAUGUAUAUCCAGUGCCCACCAUGACUAGGGAAAAAGAGAACUGGUUAUAUAUGUAUAUGUAUUUGGUGAAUUGAAACAAAUUAUUCUGAUGUGUGAAAAUAUCAUUUUUUGUCUAAAUAUAAAAUAUUCCUAUAAUGGCAAAA